ACAACAGUAAAUUGCUACUUACACAUGAAUGCAUUAGUAAUCCAAUACUAUAAUAUGUAAUAGUUAAAUAACACUUUCAGGGGCCAGUUUUCUGCAUUAUUAGUACUUUUACUUUUGAUACUUUAAGUACAUUUUGCUGAUAAAACUUCCAUAGUUUUACUUAAGUGAGUAUUUUAGAGCAGGAUUCACACAUGCUUUGGCAUCUGUUUGAUGCCAAUAAAGAACAAUUAAAUUGACUACUUUCUCCACCACUGGUAAGAAGUUAUUUCGUCCAAACUUAGGAGAAAUGUAAUUUUCUGACAGAGGGUUGAUGUUUUUCAAAUGUCUUAAAUAUCAGAGUGACACCCAAACACAUCUGUGUUAUCUCUCUGUGUUCAGACUCUUUGUCUCCCUGAUUUCAGCAGCAUGGGUGCCAUCUUUUGGCAGCUGAUCCUCUGCUGUGUGUUUGGCUUGAAAAGAAGAGCUCUGGACCUGAACAUGCGAACGCUGUGCAGCACAGCAGUCCCUCCCCUCUCACAAGGCUUGCGCACAGGAAAUCCACAGCAGAGAGCAACACCAACACAGAGAGAGAAAGAGAGGGAGAGAGAGAGGGAAGCUGGCUGAUCAAGGGCUGGUUGUCACGCGAGCGAGCCGUCUGUCAAUCUCCCCCCCACUUCCUCCUGACAGGGUGCUGGAGGCCGGCCAAGGCCUUGCGUGCAAGCCGGCGAGCCACAUUAGCCCAUAAAGAAUUUCAUAAUAGCAACAGCUGUUAAAUAUUGAUGACUGCUGGCAAGCGCUCAAUGGUGCUCCGCAAAAAGGUUAAGCCUGCACUGUAAUGGAAGCUAAUACUUCAUUAUGCCACAGAUCAAAUGUCGGGAUCUCGCCCUGUCCAAAUCCAACCCUUACAUUUCAACUUUUUUCUUGUUUUUGUAAUGUGGUAAAGAGAAAAAAAGAUUAACUGAAAGAAAGUUUUUGGCAUUUUCCGAACUUUCUGAAGACAAACAGGAGCUAUUUCCACUUGUUUAAUUCUGUUCCAGCUGAUAGACAUUUACAGUAUGCAUUAUGGUUCCAUCUUCAGCCAUCCUUGAUAUUAAUGUUAACGUUGUAUUGAGGUCUAUAAUCUUUCCGAUAUUGCUUUGGAUGAGAAUGUUUUGUGUCCACUGUGACAUACAAGAUUACAUUUGAAGGGAAUAGACUGCAAGGAUUUAGAGCAAUUCCCUUUGUCUGCUAACAAAACAACAUCUGCAAAAAGUACUUUUCUUGGAGGCAGGGCAGGAAUCACAAAUAUUCAUCUUUCAGAGGAGAUUAUAACGUGAGUGAGUGAUUUUUGUGGGGAGUGUGGAUGUGGAGCUGCUGGGGGAAGUCUAUGAAGAAGGAAAAAACUUGAUUCCUGAAUAGAACAUAAACAAAGGCCUUGGUUGUGCGCCUAGAUACUGAAGUGAAGGGGAAGUGAUAUUAUGACAAAGCAAAUUGGAUCACACAGACUGGAGGUCGGGAUGUAAACUCAAUUGUUUCCACUUCUCUGUUUUGGUUGGCAAGGAGACGCACAAGUCACCACGUUGUACAGGAGUGAUGCAUCUUGACACAUGAGCCCUUGGGCAAAACAGACUUGUAUGGCAACUACUCUACAGCGUGUAUACUGCUACUGUAUGUGGCUUGACUACACAGUGCAUCAUAAAAUUGGUGCCAUGCACUCUCCACAUACACACACAUUGUCUAUUAUAGCAAUCAUAAUAUAAAAAGUCGUCUAAUUGCUGCUAUAAAUAGAGAACAUGACUGAUUGUGGUGCACAUGUUUUAUGUGAGCAUGAUGUUUGUCUGCUGAGAAAAUAGUUUUUCUGAUGAACCCAUUGAAAGAGCGACACACAUGCAGAUCCAGCUAAAAGGCUGUCUAAACACUCCUAAAUUUGGCAUGGGAAAAUUAACCACAACAUAAGGCCAACGUGGCGCAAUAUUUAUACAGACAAUUAGAAAAACUAACAGAAUGUAAAUGGAUGGAGGCCCAAGGAGAAGCGUGAAAUGAUGUUCUCUCCGCACACACACACACACACACACACACACACAGGCUGCAUUCAAGUAUGUGUUGCGUGAGAUGAGCCAGUUAUGCAGGAAAGCUUUUAAUUUGACUGUACCCAAAUGAAUGCAACAGUGUAUUUUCUAAUUGAAGACAACAAGACGCUCGAGUUUUCCUGCCGUUGCUGGGGAUCUGACAUGUUCCACCAGCCAAACGUUGACCCUGGCCCUCACUCUGCUCAGCAAGGGCCAACUCAGGAUACAAAUUCCCUCAUGAGUCACAUAUAUCUCAGCAAUAACCCUGCCUUCAGGCUGAAAGACAACACACGUGUACACACUGAAGCUUGCAUGUAUAGUUUGCAUUUGCAGAAGCAAACACGGGGAGUCAAGGGGAAACUCCAUUGUUGGGCCUAUUCUCCACUCUCUUCAGCAUCUCUCUUUUACUUCUAUAUUUAUCUCAAUCUUCCUCUGAUAGGCUCAUUCAAAUAGUGGCAUAAUUAAUUUCCUUUUGGCAGACCUCAGUGUCCAUACAUACUUUUAUCUAGCCUUGCCGAGGGUACACUUUCUACUAGCACUUUCUAGCACAAAAAGCAAAACACAUUUUUUGAUUGUUGGCGUAUAGUGAUAUAUAGUGAUUUUUUUUUAUGCUCAGCCAACUGUAAAAUUAAUAGUAAGAAUGGACACAUUUCUACUGUCAAAAAAAUAAUUAAAUAAUGGAAUCUUUCUGCCAUGUGAGCAGAGGAGUGCAACAUUCACAUCUGAGAUACAGUGCAUUACAGUAAGAGACAUCAGCUCCUGCAUGCAUGCAUGUGUUUGCGUGGUUACUUUAUAAAUAGCUUAUCCUUGGAUUCCUGUUUUGAUGAGGAUUGGCUUGUUGCUCUCUCAAGGAGCUGGUGGUUAAUAAAAGCUGCAUUCAGGAACCCCACCUGGCCACAAUAAAGCACAAGCCUUCUAUUUCGGUACACACACAAUCUCCAUUUUCACAAGCAGUCUGUGAUUCAAGAGCUCGAAAUUAACGUACAGCGUGUCCUCUUAAACUGUAACGUUUAAGUGCACAUUUUUCUGCUGUAAAGCCCAUCUCAGUGAGUUUAAUUAUAGAUACAUUUGAAAUGAAAACCUCUCUUUGCUUUAUAAACAAACAAGAAGCUCAGAAACAGAUGUGCCAUGAGAGGUGAAUUUAAUGUUUUAAAUUAAUGAAAUAUGAUUGGAAGUGCAGGGGGGAAAGAGAGGGAUGAAGAGGGAGAGUGAAAGACUGACAGGGGAUAAAUUAUCUUUUGGUUCCUCAUAACUUGAGUUAUUUAGGGCCAGGCUUGGGUCCAAAAAGUCUAAAGCAAAUUCACUUAAUCAAAAUCUAGACUCAAACAAAUAUAUUGCAAAGCACAGGACCGUUGGCUCACAAUGUAUAGAAUAAACAACCAUAAAGUGUUUAUUAUAUAUAGCUCUCAUUUCACUCAGUCGUCCUGUGCUAUUUACCACUGCCAGUUUUUCAUCUGAAAACACACCAGUGCUUUUGACUCUCCUGCUUAUUCAUACUGAAAAAGGAAAUGUUUAACCAACUCAGGGAAUAAUUAUUAGUUAUUUUACCCCUGUAUUUUAGUCUCGCUGCAUUCCUGCAUGAGAGGGGCGGAGGACAAAAGACAGAGAGUAGAGCGGGGGUUACAGUCUACAGUACCACAUGCACCUCCACUUAAGCAAAAUGCUGGUUCCUUGUGUUGCAUGCCAACUAGUGUCACUAACAUUAUUCAAAAUAACAGGGAGAGAGAAGUACAACAAGUCUUAGAUUAUCCCUCUCGUAUUCUGCUACCCGUUGGCCAGUAAAAAGCAAUCAUCUCCUGUUUUGUCGUCACUGUAAACAGAACAUUCAACAGGUUUCUGUGGUAGGGAACCACACCUUUUAUGAAAAGCUGAUUUCAUCAGUGAUCCCGUUUUUUCUUUUUUUUUUUCUCUUUUUUUUAUCCAUACAGCCUCUCCAUAACAAGAGGGUAAUCUGUUAAAAAGAUUAUGGUGCCGUUUCGGCCCAUUGAGGCAAAUAAUAAUGGGCAGAUGGUCCCUCAGGCUGAAUCCAUACGAGAGGGAAACUGCACUAAUGCUGCUGCAGCACGCAAUGCUAAACAAAUGCUAACCACUGAGACGGGGUGGAAAGAGAACUUUACGACUUCAACAAGCUGUAUUCAUUUGCUGAGCUUUUUUUCAAGGAGGCAUCAUUUUAGUGCAGGAAAAGUGAGUACAAAGAGGCUGACUAAAUGUACGAAUGAGUAAAGUUGUACUGAGUUCAAUGGAUGAGUUGGCAAUGCAGCGGCAGCAUGCAGGCUAAACAUGAAACAAGAGUACAGUAUCGAAGUACAUUUACAGUACUUUGCUGAACUCUGCUGAUCCCAAAACAAUAUAUUAACAUACAUACUGUAUGUGUAUGCAGUAUGUCCCUCGCAGAAUCCACAACAAAACACUACACACACGUACAAACACACAGGAAGGCCCACCAAUGUGUAAUUAAAUGGGUGUGAGGUGGUUAGUGUGUCAGGGGUUGAGGAGGAUCAAGUGAUAGCCAUGAUGCUGAUCAUGCUUUAUGCAUGAAAGCCAUUAACUUGUCAGUCAGUAUAACACUAUCAGAGGUGUUAUGUAUCCACUGUGCCUCAGUGUGUGUGUGUGUGUGUGUGUGUGUGUGUGUGUGUGCCUGUGUGACCAGGACCAAUCUGUGAAGCAGGUAAUCUAGAGGAAUAACAUAAUGCAGUAUUUAAGGUCUCGCUCUCCUUCUUUCUCUCAACAUGCAUUUACUGUUGUUACCCCACCACAGCCCUUCAUAGUAUUAAAAGCAUCUCUUUCAUUACAAAAAGUCCAUCCAAUUUUAUCUCAUAUUUCCAAAUUCUGGCAAAACAAUUUACUGCAUCACUUAAAUGAGUUAUUUCAUGCAAUGUUAUCCUUUAUAUAUUAAAAAAAAAAACGGGAUUUCGGUACUGAGCAUGAGACUUUUAAAGACAGACCCUGUUUGUAGUGAAAGACCUAACAGUUUUAGCCUGAUUUGAUUUUUACCUAGCAUCACCUGUCAGCUUCACUUUAUCAAGAGUGACGAGUCUCCUGCGUUUCACACCAACAUCGCACAACACUUUGGCCUCUGACAGAGCUAAUUCAUUAAGCGACAUGCUAACCCAACAGUAAUCUGAUUAUCUUUUUCCUAACACCUCGUCCCUGUGUUGCAGGGUAUUAGUCUCGGGCAGCAGGCAAACACUGGAGAAGCAACAUCCCUGAGGCAUCUCAGCUGCUUUGAAAUCCAAACCUCAAAUAUGAUGUCUGUGAAAUUACCAAGUUAGUGAUAAAACCCAGCUUAAGAAUUAAAAAAAUAGGCCAAAAGGUUGUGAAAGUGAGGACAAAAAAAAACAUGUCUUGGUACCUUGAAAUCAUCAUUUCACCAGUGUUUCACCAGGAGAAUCAUGGUACUUAACAGUGUGCUGUAAGACUCUAAAUUAUGCAAAAUGUUUUUGUAUGGAUGUGUUUCCAGUGUGCCAAAUUGAUGGCAAGCUUUUAUUACAAAAUCAUAUAUCUGUUUUUUGCUCUUUUAGAACAGGUGGAAGUAACCUUCACUCAAAUCCAUGUUACCAUAAAGAACUUAAUUAACUUCAUUAAUCUAGUUUGGAGUGGAGGGUUCUAAUGGUGUUUCUGAAGCUUUUCCACCCUGAAAACAACAAAAAUUCUAAAUGAAACACUGAA